AUGGAGCACGCCGCGUGUGUGAUGAAGGGUUUCGGCUCGUAAAACACUGUUGUAAGAGAAGAAUGACAUUGAGAGUAACUGUUCAAUGUGUGACGGUAUCUUACCAGAAAGGAACGGCUAAAUACGUGCCAGCAGCCGCGGUAAU
rnacentral:rRNA from 1 species